GACACUCCCAGCCCGAAGCCGGCCCGGGCCCCGAUCCGCCGCCCGAUUGGCUCGGCCUCCCCAGGGCUCGGUGGGCCGAGACCCCGGCGCUGCCCAAUGGCGAGGCGCAGAGAGGAUCGGACCAGGAGCGGGGCUCCUGGAUUGGUCGAGCUGGCCCGGAUCGCCCCGCCCCCGCACCGCCUACCCGACUUCCCCUGGAACCGGCCCGACCCCUUGUGCUCUGGGGAGGGUGGGGGUGGGGGUUGCGAGGGUUUAGCUGCGGACGACGGUUGUGUCUGUUAACGAUUUCUGUCCGGUAUUCAACGGGCCUGGCUGCUCUGCGGGGAGCGAGCAACUCCCUACGGUCCCUGCCGCUCCUCGUGCAGGAGGGGAAACUGAGGGCGGGGGCAGGGAGGAUUAGCGUUCAAAAAGGACCUUAGAAAUCCCCCAGGCCGGCAGCUUCUUGUUCGGGAGAGGAAACUGAGGCAGGAGAGGCAGGGCACGUCCAGAUAAUGAAACCUAAAGCUGCCACACCUCAGGUGCCACCUGGCUCUACUGCUAUGGACCCCUCAUCCCAUUGAACCAGGGAGAAGGAAAGACAGACAGAGACAGAGAGAGGU